CCGUGCGGUCCCUGCGGGAUGCAGGCAGCAGCGAUGCCGCGGCUGUACCUAGCGAUAAUGCACAUCGGCAGAGAGAAGCACCCGGCUUCCAGCAAGGUGUUGCCUCAGUGUGUGACUGCCAGUGACAAGCAGUUCAAAUACAGUUUUUUGGGUUUUUUUUUGAGGCAUCCUUGGCUGUCUGAUGGAGAACAAACACUGCUACAAACUCGCCCAAAAGAAACUGGAUAAAGAGGAUAAUAACCGUACCAGCUUCACCAGCCCAUGGAGAGAACAGCUGAAGAGAGCAUGUGAAAUUGCUGUGAUGAAUAGCAGAAGAGGGGAAGGCUUUUUGCAGUGAGAGAGAUCUAAGCAGCACAUCAGGCCAGGAGGCAAACUGAGAGAAAACUUUUUUGGCCAGCAUCAAAUUAGGAGUGGUGUAUGGUGUUAAAGAACAGAAAGCCAACAGGUUCUCUGAGCAAAAGAAAACGAAAGAAAAAUGAAUGCAUCAAAAUAUGUGAUUUAAACCUUGUCUAAAUGAAGGAAGAAACACUAAAGUGCUGUUCCAAAGAAAGAGCUUGAACUCAAUCAGAGAAAAGAGAUUCUAAAAUGGUAACAGAGAACCUUCCUCCUCUUUAGAGAUGCAGAAAGAGAAAAUAGCAUGUGCCUUUCUAUUAAAAACAUAUCUUUCCAAGGAGAAAAUGCUUGAAACCUGAAUACUUCAAAGAUAUUAACCUCAGUGUGCUCUAGAAAACUCUUGCAGUGAUGGGCAGCAAUGGUGGUGUCAGAACACUUGAAAACAGUGAUCUGGAAGCAUCUGCUCCAGAGGCAAGACCAAGCUGUUCUGUCUGCCUAAGACACUGACCACGUUCCUGAUGUAAAGAUGGGAUAUGUGCAAACCACACCAGCCUCCCCACUGCCUUCAGGAACUGCUGAAGAUGCAGGCAGCUCAGCCCAAGGAGGUACCAGCUGACUGACCCCUUUAGCUGCAGGUGCCUCUGGACUGCUGGCAGGACUUGCCAAGCUGUGACCUGACCACACUCGCCUUGUGAAGGCCUCAGGCUGGUUUGACUCCCUGCUACCAGCAGCAAUCCAAGUGUUAAAGAUCAGCACAUUGGAUAAACAUUAACAGAAUUUCAGGCCAACAGCUCAGCAGUGAAACACUGCUGUGUGCUGAGAUAAUUUCUUGAUCUGUAGCUGCCAGUGGUGUGAACUUGUGUCAGCAGCCUCUUCUCCAUUUCACUAAUGACAGCUGUAAACCUCCUCUAUCAACAAGCUGGCUUAAGCCAUGACAUGCCUGCCUUUGCUGUCUCUGUACACUUAGCAACGUUUUCCUCCUGCUCUGAGAGUUUUGGAAGCUCAAAUACAUCAUGGUGGGACACUGACUCCACUGCUGGCUUAGGGAUGGACUGUCACAGUUGAGAUGGCCACGAUAUAGAAUACCACCAAACAGUUUCAGAAGGCUUUAAGCAUCUGCCCAUACAGAGUAACAUCAUACCACCUCAAAAGGCUGCAAGCAUCUGCCCUUCCUGUUCUCCAGCCCAACUUUUAUACCCUCGUUGUUCCUGCAGUGCCCCUGUGUGCCCUCUGUUCCUUUUGGUGAUUGGUCAGUGCACCUGGGCACUCCAUGGCUCAUCACCUUCACUCACCUGCUUUUCACACAUCGGGGAUGAAGCUCAGCCACAGCCCCACUCUCAGUUACCACAAACUGUGUGCCUACAAUAAACAGAUGUCAGGAAAGAAAUGGUAACAGGAGAAAGACUGAAAAAAAAACAUUUUCCAUUAGAGGGACUAAAAAAGGAGAGUCUUUCCUCAGAUUGUUCAACAGCAAUCAGUACAAUGUUGUUUAGGUCAUUCUUCUACUGAGCUUUCCUCAGACAAUAAGCAUAGGAAGUUACUUUCCCAUUAGAAUAUUGGUAGAGCUUGUGUAGGUGACAGUGUAGCUAAUCCUGGACUGGAAUUUCAAUAUAUUGAAUCUUCCUGAGAAAGGCCUAAAACUUCUGGGUAAGUACAUUACCAGAAGAGCUAUCUGUACACCAUACACAGAAAGUAUUAUGCAUUUCAGAAUACACUUGAUUUUUAAGUAGUUCUUGAACUCCCAAGUGCUUAAAUCACUUCUGAAAGUAAAAUAGUGACUCUUGAGUCAGAAGCUUUUGAAAGUAUUAUCCUCUGUGUUUUCCAGUUAUGUUCCUCUUCAAGCACUUAAGUGAUUUUUAAAGUCACUGAUCACCCACAGGUUGUGUUGCUGCUCCUGACAGUUGUGAGCAGUCAGCACCUCUGGAGAAGUUGAACAAUCUGGUGCCUCACUUCAUUUGCCUGGAUUUUAAAACUGUGGCCUCUGCUUUUAUUGACUUUUGAGACAGGUGAAGUUGAUAAAGUGAACAAUAUAAAAAGUGCAGCAGAGCAUUAAAAAGCAGGAAAGAUGAUGAGAGGAGAUUGCGGCCAAGAUUAAAAGACAGGAUUUCAUUGGGAUGUUUUCCUUAUGCCAAGACUUCCUUUUUAUUGCCUUUUUUUUCCUUCAUGUGGAGUUGCGCUGAAAAAGCUGCAUCCUGACUCUCCCACACCCCU
ensembl:lncRNA